UACGUAGGGGGCAAGCGUUGUCCGGAAUCAUUGGGCGUAAAGAGCGUGUAGGCGGCUUGGUAAGUCCGCUGUGAAAGUCCAGGGCUCAACCCUGGAAUGCCGGUGGAAACUGUCAAGCCUGAGUCCGGAAGAGGCGAGUGGAAUUCCUGGUGUAGCGGUGAAAUGCGCAGAUAUCAGGAGGAACACCAGUGGCGAAGGCGACUCUUUGGCCUAUAACUGACGCUGAGGCGCGAAAGCGUGGGGAGCAAACAGG
rnacentral:rRNA from 1 species